rnacentral:lncRNA from 1 species
UACGACGACGGUAUCAACGACAACCGAGUAUGUGACUCCAACAUGCACUGGCGAUGGUGAUAGUUUCCCUUACCCAGGCGACUGCACACAGUUUUACUCUUGCGUGAAGGGCGAGCUGAUACUGUAUACCUGUACCGGAUCGCUGGUUUACAGCCCUACUCUUGGGUACUGCACACUGCUGGAAAAUGUACCCGAGUGCAACUGAGUUCCUUCCUUUGAUAUCUGUCCACUCCACGACCCAAAUCCUCGAACGACUUUCCAUAAGAUUGUUUUAUUAUGUAUCUUGAAUAAAGCAUGUUACAAAAUUCCAACAAAGGUGGUUCAUUCUA